rnacentral:misc_RNA from 1 species
AAGUCGUAACAAGGUUUCCGUAGGUGAACCUGCGGAAGGAUCAUUAUUGAAUGUAUUCCAUUCCAUGUCAGUGAAACGUAGUUGUUGUGGUGACAAUCUGGUCACUGUUGGCGCAGCAUUACUGCUGGGUCGGCGGCGUCCAAGUUGUCACCGCCAGUUAUCCAUGUUGAUUAACUCUUAGUCUGAACUUUAUAUAACAAUAUAAAGACAACUUUUAGCAACGGAUCUCUUGGCUCUC